CAGUAGCCGCGGGAAUACGAAGGGUGCAAGCGUUACUCGGAAUUACUGGGCGUAAAGCGUGCGUAGGUGGUGGUUUAAGUCCGUUGUGAAAGCCCUGGGCUCAACCUGGGAAUUGCAGUGGAUACUGGGUCACUAGAGUGUGGUAGAGGAUAGUGGAAUUUCCGGUGUAGCAGUGAAAUGCGUAGAUAUAGGAAGGAACACCAGUGGCGAAGGCGACCACCUGGACUGAUACUGACACUGAGGUGCGAAAGCGUGGGGAGCAAACAGGAUUAGAUACCCCCGUAGUCCCUGUCUCUUAUAC
rnacentral:rRNA from 1 species